rnacentral:misc_RNA from 1 species
UACUGCGACUACAAGAGAUCACCUAUUACAACUAUCAUGAAUUUAUCUUCAGUUAUUUUGUAAAAUAACAUCCCCACUAGAGAACUUGCACUGCCAGAGGUCUCUUAAGUCUCUUCAUCAUUUUUCCCCUGAUCCAGAGCCGCCCAGGAUUUUCUCUCUCUAAAAGUAAUAGCUAGAUGUUCAAAGAUUUCUUUUGAAGCAUCAUGCUUCAUUGUGAGGGAUGGAUCUUUCUCACCUACAUACCCUAUGACCUUUGCAGGUGUUCCUGCCACCAUGCUGUGUGGAUCAACAUUCUUUAAUACAAGAGAAGCAGCAGCUAUCAUAGCCCCUUCACCUAUUUUUAUAUUCCCAAGUAUUGUUGAACAUGCUCCAAUAAGUGCACCAUCACCUACUUUUGGAUGGCGAUUACCUAAUUCUUUGCCAGUCCCUCCUAAAGUAACACCAUGCAUCAUCGAUACCCUGUUUCCUACAACAGCAGUUUCACCAAUAACCACACCAGUCCCAUGAUCCAAUAAUAUACCCUCUCCAAUUUUGGCAGCUGGAUGUAUGUCAACUCCAAAAACCUCACUAAUUCGACUCUGUAAUGCCAAGGCCAAUACUUUUCGCCCUUGGUUCCACAAAACAUGUGCUACUCGAUAGGAUUGCAGAGAAUGGUAACCCUUAAGAUACAGUAAAGCUGAACAAUAUGAUAAACAAGCAGGAUCCCGAUCUUUGAAUGCCUG